rnacentral:misc_RNA from 1 species
ACUGCGUUUUGGCUCUAUAGGAUGCCCCCAGCACUUCGGUCUAUAGGGAUGCCCCCCAGGGUUUUGAUUUUGCGAUAGACCAUGAUCCUGGACGGGACUUUCAGGAUUUGGGGAUGAUCUAUUCUUAGACUGAGACAACUCUUGCACAAGAUUUUUACCAUAAUUCGGAACGGGAGGUAAUUUCUUGCCAGAUCGUAACUCCGUCUGGUUUACUUGGGUUAUAAAGAAAUCUGAACCAUCUGGCAUGAUAAGACUAGACUCUACCUUAAAAAAAUUCAUCAACUUUAUAGGUCCGGCCGUCAAAUGCUGCACUCUCCACAUCCCCUGAGACUGAAGAAGUAUGAGAACCGUCGGUGUUGUUCAGAUUGGAAGUCCCAAUCAUCAUCGGAAUCACUCCAUUCA